rnacentral:rRNA from 1 species
GAUGAACGCUGGCGGCGUGCCUAAUACAUGCAAGUCGAGCGAACGGACGAGAAGCUUGCUUCUCUGAUGUUAGCGGCGGACGGGUGAGUAACACGUGGAUAACCUACCUAUAAGACUGGGAUAACUUCGGGAAACCGGAGCUAAUACCGGAUAAUAUUUUGAACCGCAUGGUUCAAAAGUGAAAGACGGUCUUGCUGUCACUUAUAGAUGGAUCCGCGCUGCAUUAGCUAGUUGGUAAGGUAACGGCUUACCAAGGCAACGAUGCAUAGCCGACCUGAGAGGGGGAUCGGCCACCCGGGAACGAAGCCCCGGUCCAGACUCCUACGGGAGGCAGCAGUAGGGAACUUUCCGCAAUGGGCGAAACCCUGACGGGGCAACGCCGGGGGGGUGAUGAAGGUUUUCGGAUCGUAAAACUCUUUUAUUAGGGAAAAAAAUAUGUUUAAGUAACUGGGCAAAUCUUGACGGUCCCUAAUCAAAAAGCCGCGGCUAACUACGU